rnacentral:rRNA from 1 species
UUUAAAUGGCCGCAGUAUUUUGACUGUGCAAAGGUAGCAUAAUUAUUANUUUUUUAAUUGAAAGCUUGUAUGAAGGGUUGGACGAGGUAAAAUCUGUCUCUACUUAAAUUAUAGUAAAAUUUAACUUUUAAGUUAAAAGGCUUAAAUAUUUAUAAAAGACGAGAAGACCCUAUAGAUCUUUAUUUAAUUGAAUUUUUAAUAAUUUAGGAUUAUUUUAAUUUAAAGUUUCGGUUAAAUUUUAUUGGGGUAAUAUAAAGAUUAAAUAAAUUCUUUUUACUUAUAACAUUGAUUUAUGAAUUAAUGAUCC